rnacentral:rRNA from 1 species
GACGAACGCUGGCGGCGUGCCUAAUACAUGCAAGUCGAACGCGUGGCGGACGGGUGAGUAACACGUGGGAACCUACCCAUCAGAGGGGGAUAACACUUGGAAACAGGUGCUAAUACCGCCUACUGAUGGAUGGACCCGAGGUGCAUACGCGAGUUGGUGCGGUGACGGCUCACCUAGGCGACGAUCCCUAGCUGGUCUGGGAGGAUGAUCAGCCACACUGGGACGGAGACACGGCCCAGACUCCUACGGGAGGCAGCAGUGGGGAAUAUUGCACAAUGGGCGCAAGCCUGAUGCAGCCAUGCCGCGUGUAUGAAGAAGGCCCUAGGGUUGUAAAGUACUUUCAGUCGGGAGGCGUUACCGACAGAAGAAGCACCGGCUAACUCCGUGCCAGCCGCCGCGGUAAUUC